ACAAAGAAGCUGCACUUGAUUGCAAUUGCGAUUGAUACCUUCUGCAAAAGGGAAAAAUCAGCUUAGUUGACCAAUGUAAAAUAGACUUCAACAAUAGUUUCUUGUGUGCUUUUUGUUUUGUUUCCCUUUCUUGGCUUUGUUCUUUUUGUGUGUUUUGAUUCCCAUAUUUUGAUUUGUAUUUUCAAAAGAAAGAGAGAGAACAUGAAGUUAGCUGCGUUUGAAGGUGGGGAGGAUCUGAGAAGCGUUGGACAAUGGAUUUUAUCACAGAUACUACAGUGGAAGAUGAAGAAGGGAAUCAUUGUUUUACAAUAAGAUCACCAGCCAUGGAGGUAUUGCACAUCACAGACAUGAAUCAGCUGUAUUGGUUUCUAAGUCUACCAUGAUAAAUUACCAUAACUUGGCAACUUAAAA